rnacentral:rRNA from 1 species
UACCGCUCCUUGUUACCAGCCAAUCAACGCGGUGACGGGCGGCCACAGCAGAAGAAAUCCUCGUUUUUUUCAGUCAGUUUGCGCUAGAUAGAGAUAGCGAGGGCUUGGGUGGAGAAGGGGAAGGCUAGACCAGCGGCGGCUUAGACCGCAGCGGGGGGUGGGGGGUGGGGGCGCGAGCCAAGGGCAGGUCUUGGACGGUGGAUGCUGCCUCGCUCCGGCGGCUUCGGCCGCUGUUUUCCUAAGCUUCGUCGGCCGGCCUCGAUGAAACUGAAGCUGCAACUCCUCCCGCAGCCGGAGUCGAGGACCGGAGGGUCCCGGGCGGCGGCGACCCGAGCAUGUACCACGGCUAGGCCAAUGGCCGGUGACAUGGGAGAGUCAAGCACGAGGGGGAUGGAGUAGAAGGAGACAAAAACAAGACGUCCAGUCCACGCCCGCUGAGCCUCUCCUCGAAACCGGCAUUCCUGAUAUGUCGAAUCAAAGAGGACCCUAGUGCAAGAGGCCUGCAGGUAACUCAAAGGCUCGUUUCAGGCCCGGAGGUCCGGCUCCGACGAUCGAACAUGUACCUAAGGAUCUACGGCAUGAUUACUUCUUCUAUCGUUCGGCAGCUAACGACGUUGUCCCGCCGUCCCUUCUAGGUUCAGUCGGCUGCCAACAGUUCCGUUGUCAUUGGAAGAUUUCCUGGAAGGAUAUCAGAGGACGGUUACGGCCUAAUCUAGCUCCAGCGCCACCUAACCAAAACGAUCUUGACUACGAUUCAGUACCGUCUAGCUCGCCGUCGCGAGGGCAAGGCUAGCCCUCGUUCUACUGCCGUCGCUCGCGUACUUCCCGCGCUGGCCGUGCGACGGGCCUGCUCUCCUCCUCGUCCUCCCCUCCGCGCCUCCAUCCCAGCUCCUACUCCCUUCCUCGAGCGCUCCGGGUCGUGGCCCUUGCCUCGCCUCCGCCGACCUAGACCGCUAAGAAUUCCCCAAGGCCGCUGUUCGCCGAGGCACCCGCCGCUGGACGUCGCAAGUUCGCCGCCGACCGCCGACGGCACUUCCAUACUCGCUAGACCAAAGGGGAAAACAACAAGAUAUGUUCCUACUACGCCUACAGAAAACCUCAAAACUCUACGAUGGCUCUUCCUACAAGCUCCCUGGCUGUCCUCAAUACUUCGCCAACCUUCGUAAUACCUUCUAGUACCUUAAUUGGCUAUGUCUUCAUUAUUUGACAGACGUAUAUAUACGAUACGCGCGCGAGCGGGAAACGAGUCUGUGGCAGUUCCGAGAGUUGGAGUCGGUUGCUAGACGGCUUCUAUUGCACCGUCGGUGCUUGAACACCAACGAGUCGCACGCGAGGAAGAAGGUCAAUGUGUCGUUGGUACUGUUCUACUGCCUACCUCAGGAAGUCGACGUAAAAGAGUACCUACUUGACUGGUUGCUCGUAAGGAACGAAGUUAAAGAAACAGGGGUGUUUGGUCCGGCAGGGUAAACGGGGACCUCCAGGUCGAUGGGGGUGGUCGAGCUAUUGGGAUCGAUGGGGUUGGGAGCAGGAGAGCUAGAGAGGGUGAGUAGAGGGAGAGGAGGGAGCGCGGCGGUCUCCUCGGGUAGAGGAGCUAGAAGGGGAAGGGGAGGAAACACGGGGUAGAGAGGAGGGAGGCAAGGGUAGAGGGAGUACGGGCUCGAAGAAGGAGCUGGGGCAUUGGAGUGGUUGUUGUCGGUACAACGGGGCAGGUCAAGGAGCAGCCACUGGAGGGCGAGGCCUAGGCGGAGGGUGCUGGUGCUGGUCACGACGUGGGGGUGCGGCAGAAGGCGCGGGCUGGAGAGGGAGCGGAACGAUCACGGGCUAGGGGUAGCGGAGUUGGACAGGGAACGGCGUGGCGCGGACUCGAGGACCUGGGACUCGGUAGUAGCGAGGACGACGUCCCUGCGGUACCAGCUCUGGCGGAGGACGUCAAGGAGGUGACACGGGACGAAUAGGAGGGCGCGGCGCGGAGGAAGGUGAGGCGGAGGGGUUCGUCGCGGGAGCGGCCUACCUCAAGAACGACGGCGGUAACAGCAAGCCCCGGUCGCGGAGCGGAGACAAAGCUUGGUUCCCGGCCGCGGAGGAAGCGAGCAGCAGAAGCUCGUCGACGUGGGGUCUGGCGGGGAAAGUAGGAACACU